UUGGAGGGCAAGUCUGGUGCCAGCAGCCGCGGUAAUUCCAGCUCCAAUAGCGUAUAUUAAAGUUGUUGCAGUUAAGAAGCUCGUAGUUGAAUUUCUGCCUUAUCAUUAAUUUCGCUUCCGAACGUAAUUUUAUUGAUUUGGCAUCUUCUGGAUUAUAUAUUAUUUUUAAUAUAUUUUUCCAGUAUUUUACUUUGAGAAAACUAGAGUGUUUCAAACAGGCUUUUGCCUUGAAUACUACAGCAUGGAAUAAUGAAGUAGGACUAUUGGUUCUAUUUUGUUGGUUAUCGAACCAUAGUAAUGGUUAAUAGGAGCAGUUGGGGGCAUUCGUAUUUAAC
rnacentral:rRNA from 1 species